rnacentral:rRNA from 1 species
CAGCAGCCACGGUAAUACGAAGGGGGCUAGCGUUGUUCGGAUUUACUGGGCGUAAAGCGCACGUAGGCGGAUCGAUCAGUCAGGGGUGAAAUCCCAGAGCUCAACUCUGGAACUGCCUUUGAUACUGUCGAUCUGGAGUAUGGAAGAGGUGAGUGGAAUUCCGAGUGUAGAGGUGAAAUUCGUAGAUAUUCGGAGGAACACCAGUGGCGAAGGCGGCUCACUGGUCCAUUACUGACGCUGAGGUGCGAAAGCGUGGGGAGCAAACGGGAUUAGAUACCCCAGUAGUCCCUGUCUCUUAUAU